rnacentral:rRNA from 1 species
AGAGUUUGAUCCUGGCUCAGGAUGAACGCUGGCGGCGUGCCUAAUACAUGCAAGUCGAACGAAACUUCUUUAUCGCCGAGUGCUUGCACUCACCGAUAAAGAGUUGAGUGGCGAACGGGUGAGUAACACGUGGGCAACCUGCCCAAAAGAGGGGGAUAACACUUGGAAACAGGUGCUAAUACCGCAUAACCAUAGUUACCGCAUGGUAACUAUGUAAAAGGUGGCUAUGCUACCGCUUUUGGAUGGGCCCGCGGCGCAUUAGCUAGUUGGUGAGGUAACGGCCCACCAAGGCGACGAUCAGUAGCCGGACUGAGAGGUUGGCCGGCCACAUUGGGACUGAGAUACGGCCCAGACUCCUACGGGAGGCAGCAGUGGGGAAUAUUGCACAAUGGGGGAAACCCUGAUGCAGCGACGCCGCGUGAGUGAAGAAGUAAUUCGUUAUGUAAAGCUCUAUCAGCAGGGAAGAAAAUGACGGUACCUGAUUAAGAAGCCCCGGCUAACUACGUGCCAGCAGCCGCGGUAAUACGUAGGGGGCAAGCGUUAUCCGGAUUUACUGGGUGUAAAGGGAGCGUAGACGGCAGUGCAAGUCUGGAGUGAAAGGCGGGGGCUCAACCCCCGGACUGCUCUGGAAACUGUACAGCUGGAGUGCAGGAGAGGUAAGUGGAAUUCCUAGU